GACGGAGGGGGCAAGCGUUGUCCGGAAUCACUGGGCGUAAAGCGCACGUAGGCGGGACGGUGCGUCGGUGCUGAAAGCGCCAGGCUUAACCUGGCGAGGCGUGCCGAUACGACCGACCUCGAGGCAGACAGAGGGUGGCGGAAUUCCGGGUGUAGUGGUGAAAUGCGUAGAGAUCCGGAGGAACGCCGGUGGCGAAAGCGGCCACCUGGGUCUGACCCUGGACGCUGAGGUGCGAAAGCGUGGGGAGCAA
rnacentral:rRNA from 1 species